rnacentral:rRNA from 1 species
AGAGUUUGAUCMUGGCUCAGGACGAACGCUGGCGGCGUGCUUAACACAUGCAAGUCAAGGGGGCCCGCAAGGGCAACCGGCGAACGGGUGCGUAACACGUGAGCAAGUUUCCUAUUAGUGGGGGAUAGCCGGCCCAACGGCCGGGUAAUACCGCAUAUCUUGAUCGGGUGGCAUCGYCUGAUCAGGAAACCUCCGGGGCUAAUAGAGGCGCUCGCGGCCUAUCAGCUAGUUGGUGAGGUAAUGGCUCACCAAGGCUAUGACGGGUAGCUGGUCUGAGAGGAUGGCCAGCCACAUUGGGACUGCGACACGGCCCAGACUCCUACGGGAGGCAGCAGUGGGGAAUAUUGCGCAAUGGACGAAAGUCUGACGCAGCGACGCCGCGUGUGGGAUGAAGCCUUUCGGGGCGUAAACCACUGUUGCCCGGGACGAACAUCCUCUUUCGAGAGGACUGACGGUACCGGGUGAGGAAGCACCGGCUAACUCUGUGCCAGCAGCCGCGGUAAUACAGAGGGUGCGAGCGUUGUCCGGAAUCACUGGGCGUAAAGGGCGCGUAGGUGGCUUGGUAAGCGUGUGGUGAAAGUCCGGGGCUCAACCCCGGAUCUGCCGUGCGAACUGCUGAGCUCGAGCAAUGUAGAGGCAGGUGGAAUUUCGGGUGUAGCGGUGGAAUGCGUAGAUAUCCGAAAGAACACCAGUGGCGAAGGCGGCCUGCUGGGCAUUAGCUGACACUGAGGCGCGACAGCGUGGGGAGCAAACAGGAUUAGAUACCCUGGUAGUCC